rnacentral:misc_RNA from 1 species
GCAAACUUGGUCAUUUAGAGGAAGUAAAAGUCGUAACAAGGUUUCCGUAGGUGAACCUGCGGAAGGAUCAUUAUUGAAUUAUAAAACUUGGAUCAGGUUGUUUUGCUGACCUCUAGGGGUAUGUGCACGCUUGAUUCAACUUUAUAUUAACCCACCUGUGCACCUUUUGUAAACCAUUUCAGGAAUUGAACCUAUCGAGAAUGAUUUCUUGGAUUGAAAGGAUAAAGCUAGCUUUUCCUUUUGAAACAUUCCUGAAGGGGUUUAUGUUUUCAUAUACCACUUGUUAUUAAAAAAAAGUUGUCUAUAUGCAUAUAAUAAACUUUUAUACAACUUUCAACAACGGAUCUCUUGGCUCUCGCAUCGAUGAAGAACGCAGC